rnacentral:rRNA from 1 species
AUUGAACGCUGGCGGCAGGCCUAACACAUGCAAGUCGAACGAGUGGCGGACGGGUGAGUAAUGUCUGGGAAACUGCCUGAUGGAGGGGGAUAACUACUGGAAACGGUAGCUAAUACCGCAUACCAUCAGAUGUGCCCAGAUGGGAUUAGCUAGUUGGUGGGGUAACGGCUCACCAAGGCGACGAUCCCUAGCUGGUCUGAGAGGUUGACCAGCCAAACUGGAACUGAGAAACGGUCAAGACUCCUACGGGAGGCAGCAGUGGGGAAGAGUGGACAAUGGGCGAAAGCCUGAUGCAGCCAGGCCGCGUGUGUGAAGAAGGUCUUCGGGUUGUAAAGUACUUUAAGCGGGGAGGCGUUACCAGCAGAAGAAGCACCGGCUAACUCCGUGCCAGCAGCCGCGGUAAUAC